UACGUAGGGUGCGAGCGUUAAUCGGAAUUACUGGGCGUAAAGCGUGCGCAGGCGGUUCGUUAAGUCAGCUGUGAAAGCCCCGGGCUCAACCUGGGAACUGCGGUUGAAACUGGCGAACUAGAGUCUGGCAGAGGGGGGUGGAAUUCCACGUGUAGCAGUGAAAUGCGUAGAGAUGUGGAGGAACACCGAUGGCGAAGGCAGCCCCCUGGGCUAAGAUUGACGCUCAGGCACGAAAGCGUGGGGAGCAAACAGG
rnacentral:rRNA from 1 species